UACGUAGGGGGCAAGCGUUGUCCGGAAUUAUUGGGCGUAAAGAGCGUGUAGGCGGCCAGAUAAGUCCGCUGUGAAAUCUCGAGGCUCAACUUCGAGCUGUCGGUGGAAACUAUCUGGCUAGAGUCCGGAAGAGGAGAAUGGAAUUCCUGGUGUAGCGGUGAAAUGCGCAGAUAUCUGGAGGAACACCGGUGGCGAAGGCGGCAUCCUGGACCGGCAUUGACGCUGAGGCGCGAAAGCGAGGGGAGCAAACGGG
rnacentral:rRNA from 1 species